rnacentral:rRNA from 1 species
AUUGAACGCUGGCGGCAGGCUUAACACAUGCAAGUCGAGGGGAGCGGCAGACGGGUGAGUAACGCGUGGGAACGUACCUUUUGGUUCGGAACAACACCGGGAAAAUUGUGCUAAUACCGGAUACCGAAAAAUCGGCCAGCGUCUGAUUAGCGAGUUGGUAGGGUAAUGGCCUGCCAAGGCGACGAUCAGUAGCUGGUCUGUGAGGAUGAUCAGCCACCUUGGGACUGAGACACGGUCCAAACUCCUACGGGAGGCAGCAGUGGGGAAUAUUGGACAAUGGGGGCAACCCUGAUCCAUCCCUGCCGCGUGAGUGAUGAAGGCCCUAGGGUUGUAAAGCUCUUUUGUGCGGGAAGCGGUACCGCAAGAAUAAGCCCCGGCUAACUUCGUGCCAGCAGCCGCGGUAAUUC